UUGAAUUUUUAUAUUCAUAAACAUCAAUAUCUGAGGAUGGAUGAAUGGUGUGAGAAUGGCAAAAAAAGAGGAAGAUAUAAGAGAUUCUUGGAGGAGGAUGAUUCGCGAGUACCGAUAAAGACUAAAUACAGACGCAAGGUGACAAAGGUACAACAGACUAACAAGACCCAUUAUAAGUCAUAUAUUGAAUCCGGAAUCCCUAUUCCUAGGAAAAGUGCUUACAGGAAAAAAACAAAGCAACGUAAGUCUUAUUUUUAAAAUGUACCGACUUGUUAUAUUUAUUCAAAGUGAAAUCAUUUAAAUAUGUAUUGUAUAAUAUAAAUUUGACUGAAUUAGUGGUGUAUGUGAAACAUUAAAACGUGUUUUUUUAGCGCUCAGUUGAGCAUUCUGAAACAGCUAAUGAAUCUGAGCAAGAAGGUGUGGGAUUUCUUGGACAAGAGACAAAGCAACUGAAGGUAAAUAAAAUACAUUUAAGAUAAGUAGAUAUUCUGCAUGAAUGGAAACAUAUAAUAGUCUGACUGUACAUUUUAAGAUUUCAGAUGAAUUAUUUGAAGCCCAUGGCCCUGAUGUACAUGAUGAAAAUCAAACAGAUGUCGUACAGUUACAGGAAGAAAAAUGCACAUUACACAUUGCAGAAGCUGACACUCAACAAAGUAAUGAAGAUGGUAAUGAUGAACGCGAGAUCCAU